GUUCGGCUGAGGAAGGGAGCGCACGCCGGCGGCGCGGAGGCCGGCUCUGCGCUUCGGGCCGCCCCCUCCCCCCACCCCGCUCACACCCGGCACUUACUUCGGCUGUCUCCGCUGCCCUCCAGCGGAGACGCAGCUCCUCAGGCGCCCGGCGGUAUUUGUUGGGUCGGCGGCGUCAGGGAUUCGCAGUGGCCUGUGGUCGGCGUCGUCCGGCCACUGGUGCGCCCCCGCGGCAGGCAGAGCUCACGCUCCUGUCCCCCGGCUGGUCCGGGGUCUGGGCGCCGCGUCGACGGCGGCUCCGCAGGACGCGCAGACCGGGCCGCAGCCCAUUCCCCGAGCGGACUGCAUUAUGAGGCACCUGCCUUACUUCUGCCGGGGUCAAGUGGUGCGGGGCUUCGGCCGCGGCUCCAAGCAGCUGGGCAUCCCCACAGGAAACACAUAUCAUGCAUACCUUCAAAGAGGACUUCUAUGGGGAAAUCCUCAAUGUGGCCAUUGUUGGCUACCUGAGACCAGAAAAGAACUUUGAUUCUUUAGGUAAGUUCUUAUUUUGAUCUUCUUAAAUACUACUACUGCUACCACAGGUAACUCUACCACUACUACCAGUAAUAAUGAUGGCAGGACAGAUAAUAUUUGAGCAUUUAAUAUAUGCCAGGCACCGUUUUAAGUGCUUUACGUGAAUCUAUCUUCUUUCACCUGUGAGGGAUUAUUUUGCCUAUUUCUCAGAUGAGGAAAUGGCACAGAGAGAUUAAGUAACAUUCUCAAAGUCACAUAGUAAAUAACGGAGUCUAGCUUUGAACCUAGCAGGCUGGCUGCUUCUCUCCAGCGGUAUGAAGUUAAUGAAAUCUUUCAAAAUGUGUGAAGUUUGAGAUAUAGUAAAUCAGAGAACAUUUGAAACAUGUUACCAGGUAUGUAUUAGUGUAGUGUGAUAGUUUUAACUCUGUUAUAAAGUUUCUUUUACAAGUGUAAAUACCAACCAAAAAUAAUAGUGAAUGCUUUUUUCCUCCAUUUGAUAUUUGCAGUGUACAUUUAUGCCUAUGCCUUUCUCUUAAAAUAUAAGAUUAGGGACAUACCUUUGUUUGUUUGUUUGUUUGAGACAGAGUUUUGCUCUUUGUUACCCAGGCUGGAGUGCAGUGACGCCCCCUCUCACCGCAACCUCCACCUCCCAGGUUCAAGCGAUUCUCCUGCCUCAGCUUCCUGAGUAGCUGGGAUUACAGGCACCCACCAUCACACCCCGCUAAUUUUUGUAGUUUUAGUAGAGUCAGGUUUCACCAUGCUGGCCAGGCUGGUCUCGAACUCCGGACUUCAGGUGAUCUGCCCGCCUCAGCUUCCCAAAGUGCUGGGAUUACAGGCAUGAGCCACUGCCCCCGGCCUAGGGACAUAUCUUUUGUGUACCAUUGACUUAGGCCUGGAAGGAGUGAUGGAACAAACAUUUAUUGGGUAUCUACCCUGUGCAGAGAUACUGCCAGCCUGUGAGUUUUUAGGAUUGGCUAAACAGAGUAGUAGU
rnacentral:lncRNA from 10 species